CUGAAUAACCUACACAAUAUAGGAGCCAAAAUAUGACGAUGACAUUGAUCUGGAGCUUCUUGCUAUUAGAGAGAUAAUCUCUCCUGAACAUGCCCAUCUGCGAGUCUUUUAAGUGAUUCAUUUUUUACUCAGUUCUGUCUGAUACAUGUAUCGAUUCUGAUAUAUCUGUUUUUUUUAUUAUCUUUUCAGUUACCGAGGGACAUACCAAGGUAAAGAAAUCGUCCCCAAGGAACUGCAAGUAGACAGAUCUUUUGAGCCCACCGAAUUUUGGAGGGGAAUGGAAAUUCUUAGUGGACUUAGGCAUCCACAUUUGGUACGGUUUCUUGGUGCCAACACACGCAAUGUCUCAGAAGGCACCUUAGGAAUAGUUACAGAAUAUAUCCCUGGUGGCAAUUUGUUUGAUUAUCUCCAAAGAAAUCAUGAAAACUUGACUCUGUCUCAGAGGUUGAAGAUAGCACUUCAAAUUUCUAAAGGUAUUGAGUACCUCCAUGGCCAGUUGAUCAUACAUAACGACAUCAACACUUGAAAUAUCCUUAUGGAUAUAGACAAUGUUUUAAAAGUUGACCUGCCUACUAGUCUGUACAUGGCUUGGGCUGGGAAGCUCUCUUUCAUGCUUUUCAAUUAGCUGAGAUGAAUACUCCUAAAAUCAGAAGGUGGACCAAAUUUACAGCACCAGAAGCAAUGAAUAGAAGAGAAUUUGGUGACAGAUCCGAUGUCUACAGUUUCGGAAUUGUUCUCUGUGUUAUCUUAAUGGCUAAGCUUCCAUAUGAGACUUUGGAUAACAGAACUACUAAACAUACAGCCUUAAGUGUUCUGGGGGGAGCAAGGCCUGAGCUUCCAAGUGAGACGAAUCCAAGACUAAAGAACUUAAUCGAUGAUUGCUUGGAUCACAUCUCAGACGUAAGACGUGUUUUGGAGUCUCUUAUAUGAGAACUGAAUACGCCUACGCUUAUGCCUAUAGCAUCCGCCUCUCCUUCAAUAGCAAACUCAACCUCGACGUUGGUGCUAAGGAAUCGAUUCGGGGUAUUAGCAGACAAUCCUGAAUCUUGAGUAAAACCUAUCUAGGUAAUGAUGUACAUUGUCUCAGGCUUAGAUUUUUUUUUUUUUUCUUUUUCUUUCUUUCUUUGCACCCGUAGCUAGUAAUAGUAAUGAUGCUCUAACGUAUCAAUCCUGAUGAUAUCUGUUCUGGCACAUGUAUAGACAGUUUUAGACUUUAGUGCCCAAACCUUUUGCUUUUGAUUUUUGCAUAGGUUCUUCCUGGUCAAUUGUAAACUUUGGGAUUCAGUUGUAUAUUCUAGAAACUAAACCUGCAAUUCUCUUUAGUUACGCAACAAAAUACUAAAAUCAUCCACAGUUUAAAGCUGUCUUCAAUCUCCAGAACACUAGCUUUGUAAUGUUAUCGUCACUUUGCACUCUAACCUAUGAUUUCGAUUACUGGCGAGAACAUAGAGGGCUCAGGAAGACAACCACAUGUUUAUACAUUCUAAGUGAAAGUCGUGUCCGGGAUUUCUCAGCUUUCUUCAUUCUUCUUCGCCUCUUUCGUCUUUGUAAAGGCAUCGAAAAAGCAAGAGGGAUAGGAUUUAGUUAUAUAGGAUAUUCUGCAGCAAAGGUCCAUGUUGUCCCUUCUCCCAUAGCUCGAUCAGUAGCAAUGAGAACCAGAAGACGACAAUGGUGUCUAGGGAAUAGAAAAUGAUAGCUAAGGAUCUUUAGAGCUGAACUGACCCUGAGAAGCACCCAGCCACUGAAACCAUGUCUGUUUUUUGGCACAAUCCAAAAGCUGCUCCUGGCUGCAACAUAUCAAGAACACCACAACCAGCGUUAGUGAAUACAAUUGAUAAGCCUUUAGGUGUGUAUGCACGUAAUCCUCAAUCUCUGACUUGGGAAUGCCUCAACUUCCCAAACUUUUUCUAAUAGCAGGUGUGUAGACAAAAGAAAACAAAAUUCACAUCACCAAUCAUUAAACCAGCUGGUUUGCAUAAAAAGAGGUGGAGUUGAAACAUAUAUUGCCCCCUCAGAAAAUGGCAAAGCAAGAUAAUGAUCGAUGAAUACUUGCAUAUCAAAAUGAAUAACGAACGGGAACUAGUAUUUCUCCAUCAGUGAGGGAGAGAUCUUCAAAUCAAUUAAAAGCUUCUAUUAAAAAAAAAGAAGAAAAAACUAAGAAAGCAAACAAAAGAGACAAGACAUGUAUGUGUUCAGGGCCAGUUCAGUAACACAGUAUAGGCUUGGCUAAAAGUUGGAGGAGGUUUCAUGAGCAUGGUUCGUAAAAUUCUUGCACUUCUUAGUUCCGAGUCAUCCAAACCCAUCAGAAACCCGAAAACCUUCUGUUCCUCUCUCGCAUCUGCAGCCCGCUUCGCGACCUCGCAGCCACAGCCGUCGCACGCACACUCCUCCGGCAAGUGAUCAUAUUCCGACAGCUCCAACCAAGCUCUAUUCAUUUCCUCGAAAUAAACACCGAGCGAGCGACCCUUUUGCGUCAUCAUGGUGAUAUUCCCGCGAAGCUGGUGGAUCUUCCAAUCAUCGUUCAGGGCAGAGAUAAGAGCUUCCUUGACACUCACGUCAUUGUUCUAUUUAUACAGAAACCCAAACUUCCUCCCCCUAUCUCUGCCAUCUUUGAUCCGUUUCGAGAUCUCGCAGCGGCAACGGCCGCAAACACAUUCCGGCACGGGAUCAUACUCGGACAGCUCCUCCCAAGCAAGACUCAGCUUCCUGAAAAAAACGGCGAGGGAAUCUUUGUCUUGACUCAUCAUUGCGAUCCUCCGGCAAAUCUCGUAGACCUUUAAUUCAGGGCUAGCUGCAAAUUUCAGCCGGAGAUCAUUCCAGGCUCCAUGCGCCGUCUCAGCGAAACACACAGUAAAUCGUAAGCCUCUGUUCACCGAGUUUAGUAGCCAACACUUUACCAUCUCGUCACACUGUUACCAUGCGUCGUAGAGCGGCGAUGAAGGGUCUGGUCUCGCGACGCUGCCGUCUACAAACCCGAUCUUGUUCCUGGUUCCAAGGGAUUCAAGAGCUUUUCACUUCCAUAUGAAGUAGUUGUCCACGGGUAUGCUGAGUUUUGUUAGAAUAUUGAGAGGAAGAAGAAAAGAAAACAGAGCAAGAGACUUUGUCUCUUCUCUUUGUAGAAGACAAGAUCGAAAACUGAAAC